AGAUUGAACGCUGGCGGCAUGCCUUACACAUGCAAGUCGAACGGCAGCGCGGGGCAACCUGGCGGCGAGUGGCGAACGGGUGAGUAAUAUAUCGGAACGUACCCUGGAGUGGGGGAUAACGUAGCGAAAGUUACGCUAAUACCGCAUACGAUCUAAGGAUGAAAGUGGGGGAUCGCAAGACCUCAUGCUCCUGGAGCGGCCGAUAUCUGAUUAGCUAGUUGGUGGGGUAAAGGCCUACCAAGGCAUCGAUCAGUAGCUGGUCUGAGAGGACGACCAGCCACACUGGAACUGAGACACGGUCCAGACUCCUACGGGAGGCAGCAGUGGGGAAUUUUUGGACAAUGGGCGAAAGCCUGAUCCAGCAAUGCCGCGUGAGUGAAGAAGGUCCUGGUUGUAAGUCUCUUUGUCAGGAAGAACGGUGAGG
rnacentral:rRNA from 1 species